rnacentral:tRNA from 1 species
GGUGUUGUGGCUCAGUGGUAGAGUGCUUGCCUAGCAUGUGCAAGGCACUGGGUUCGAUCCCCAGUACCACUG